rnacentral:rRNA from 1 species
UACGUAGGGAGCAAGCGUUGUCCGGAAUCAUUGGGCGUAAAGCGCGCGUAGGCGGCCCUGUAAGUCCGUUGUGAAAGUCAAAGGCUCAACCUUUGAAAGCCGAUGGAUACUGCAGGGCUAGAGUCCGGAAGAGGCGAGUGGAAUUCCUGGUGUAGCGGUGGAAUGCGCAGAUAUCAGGAGGAACACCAAUAGCGAAGGCAGCUCGCUGGGACGGUACUGACGCUAAGGCGCGAAAGCGUGGGGAGCAA